rnacentral:rRNA from 1 species
ACGGGUGAGUAACGCGUGGGAAUCUGCCCUUUAGUGAGGAAUACCUUCGAGAAAUCGGAGUUAAUACCGCAUACGUCCCUUCGGGGAGAAAGAUGGCCUCUUUGCUGUCGCUAAAGGAUGAGCCUGCGUACUAUUAGCUAGUUGGUAGGGUAAUGGCCUACCAAGGCGAUGAUGGUUAGCCGGCCUGAGAGGGUGAUCGGCCACAUUGGAACUGAGACACGGUCCAGACUCCUACGGGAGGCAGCAGUGAGGAAUAUUGCGCAAUGGGCGAAAGCCUGACGCAGCGACACCGCGUGAAGGAUGAAGGCUUUAGGGUCGUAAACUUCUGUUAAGUGGGAAGAAAGAUCUAGUACUAAUACGACUAGAGAAUGACGGUACCACUAGAGAAAGCACCGGUUAACUUCGUGCCAGCAGCCGCGGUAAGACGAGGGGUGCGAACGUUAUUCGGAAUGAUUGGGCGUAAAGGGUGCGUAGGCUGUUUAUCAAGUCAACUGUUAAAUUUCUCAGCUUAACUGAGAGUCUGCGGUAGAAACUGGUAAACUAGAGGAUGGAAGAGAGAAGUAGAAUUCUCGGAGUAGCGGUAAAAUGCGUAGA